CGUGAACAAAGACUUUUAAAGCCAGAGUUUCCUGAGGAAAGGGGCAGAGGCGGGGCCGGGGCGUGAAUCACACAAUAACACUACGCAGAUUACGGGAGGGCGCGUGACAUCACCGUGCGCUGCGCUCGAAUGUGUGCGUAAACGGUACGUAAACGGUGCUCAGAUGUGUAAUAAAGUUCGGGGCGGGGGAGUUGGUGCCGGUGUUCUGUGGAAAUCGCUUCCCGGCGUGAGAGCGCUGCAUCACGGCUCAGAUCUGUAGGCCAAAGUUCGAGAGUGCUUUCCUUUUGCACGAGACACUUGGAAACAUCUGGUUUUGUCUCAGCACCAUUAGGUUUGAAGACGACAGCCGGUCUAACGCAGGAUAAACGAAAACCAGGCCAGGACAGACCCAGGAGUCUGCAACAGUUUGGAUUCACAGACAUGAUUCUUCCCAAAAUACUAUCAUUUAUCUGUUUUAUAGGUUUAGUCCUGGUUUGGCUACUGAAAAAAUAAUAAUAAUAAUCCCCCCAUCCCCUCUUUGUAAUAGUAGCCUAAUAACAUUUCAUUUGAGUGUAUUUAGACUACAGUUACGUUCUUAAAAUCAAGGGGAUACAAUGGUACUCAAUUAUUACAUUUUAGCUUCAUAUAGUGUUGUGGGUGGUACCUCGGGGUGUCGCUGCUCCCCCACCGGAACUGUGUUAAAUAGGAAGUUUGGCAUUCCCACACUAGGUGCCAGUUUCCGUGGGAGGCCGGGGCGUUUGCUGGGCCCACGCCAUGAUUGUUUGAUUCUUUGUUUGGACCGUACAUGCAUGAGGGUUUUAGCCGUGCUGAUGACCUGUGCUGUUGAGUUGGAACUGUGUGUGGGAUUCGACGCACAGGUACAGCCAUUUUAACUCUUUUAAAAUGUAAGUUUAUUAAAGUAGGCUAUUUUGUAAUUGUGAUUUGUAUUUUUUGUUUUUACAGUGGCAUUGUCUCCUGCUGUCCUUGUAGUUUUUGUUUUUGUUUAGUUAGUCCGUCCCGCAUUCGUAGCCUGUGCUUGGGAGUUCACUCUGUAAGGGCGGACUAACUAGUUUCUUAUAUUUUUAAUAUUUGUUUGUUAUUUUUCGGGUCACUUCCCUCAAAAAACCUGCUUACCGCGGAGUCAGACUUAUUGAUCCAAUCGUGUGUGGUGUUUAUGUUGCAGUGUUUUGCUGUGCGCUUGCGGUGCCUUUUCAAUAUUGCAUGUUGUUGGGUUUGCGGGGUUGCCCGUUUUACACAUGUUUCAUAGUACAUUUGGAUCAUAAGCUCUUUGUGGGUCAGUACG
rnacentral:lncRNA from 1 species